rnacentral:rRNA from 1 species
UACGGAGGGUGCAAGCGUUAUCCGGAUUUAUUGGGUUUAAAGGGUGCGUAGGCGGACUAUUAAGUCAGUGGUGAAAGCCCCAAGCCUAACUUGGGAACUGCCAUUGAUACUGAUGGUCUUGAGUACAUUUGAGGUGGGCGGAAUGUGUCAUGUAGCGGUGAAAUGCUUAGAUAUGACACAGAACACCGAUUGCGAAGGCAGCUCACUAAACUGUAACUGACGCUGAGGCACGAAAGCGUGGGGAGCAAACAGG